GGAAUAUUCCCCAGGCUGCUCCACGAGGCGAGAGAAGAGAUUGCUGAGCCUCUGGCAAGGAUCUUUAUGUCCUUGUUGUCCACGGGAACGGAACCAGAGGAUUGGAAGGAGUCCUCCAGAUACAAAAGCAAAUAUCGCUUUCCUCAUCAAAGUUGCUGGUGAAUGCAGCAGGCCAGGCAGCAUCUCUAGAAAGAGGAAUUCUGCAGAUGCUGGAAAUUCAAGCAACACACAUAAAAGUUGCUGGUGAACGCAGCAGGCCAGGCAGCAUCUCUACGAAGAGGUGCAGUCGACGUUUCAGGCCGAGACCCUUCGUCAGGACUAACUGAAGGAAGAACUUGUCGAGACUUGACCGAAAGCAAAACAAUGUCAAUGUUCCCAGCUUACUCUUGCCCUGGUUUUGGAAAAGAAGAUUCCAUUUCGAUCGAUGCUGUUAAGGCGUGAUGUUUAUUUAGUAUUACUGAUGAGCUGCUGAAUCAGCAUUAGCUUUGGUUUGGAAGUUCUAGUUAACGGCCGUGUUGGCUUAGUGUUUAUUGUUUUUUUCCAUUAUUUCAGCCACAGUUCUUAUUAAAAAUCAAUGAUCUGCUUCAAUGUCUCUCUCUCUCUCGGCACUUGGGCCAUAACGGCACAUCCUAUCAGUUAAAGUAGAGAAGAUAUAAAAUCAGACAGACCACCUGACAUCAAACUGCACUUUCUUCAGACAUGGCAAAGUUACUUCUAACAAAUUUGCAUAUUAACUCACAAACAUUUUCGUAAACUGGUAUAUAAAUUGGGAGAGUUUA